rnacentral:rRNA from 1 species
GGGCCCGCACAAGCGGUGGAGCAUGUGGUUUAAUUCGAUGAUACGCGAGGAACCUUACCAGGGCUUAAAUGUAGUCUGACAGGGGUGGAAACACCCCCUCCUUCGGGCAGAUUACAAGGUGCUGCAUGGUUGUCGUCAGCUCGUGUCGUGAGUGUCAGGUUAAGUCCUAUAACGAGCGCAACCCCUGCCGUUAGUUGCCAGCAUGUAAUGAUGGGGACUCUAACGGAACUGCCGGUGCAAACCGUGAGGAAGGUGGGGGACGACGUCAAAUCAUCACGGCCCUUACGUCCUGGGCCACACACGUGCUACAAUGGGUGAGGUACCAAGGGAAGGGCACCCCCCAGGGGGGAG